UACGUAGGGGGCUAGCGUUGUCCGGAAUCAUUGGGCGUAAAGCGCGUGUAGGCGGUCCGGUAAGUCCGCUGUGAAAGUCGGGGGCUCAACCCUCGGAUGCCGGUGGAUACUGUCGGGCUUGAGUACGGAAGAGGCGAGUGGAAUUCCUGGUGUAGCGGUGAAAUGCGCAGAUAUCAGGAAGAACACCCGUGGCGAAGGCGGCUCUCUGGGACGGUACUGACGCUGAGACGCGAGAGCGUGGGGAGCGAACAGG
rnacentral:rRNA from 1 species